GUAUGUUCAGAAGACCAAAGGUGGCGGUCGCGUGGCUGCUUUUGCAGGCAGAGUUACCUGCCCUUGGCAAACUAGCCAGGGUGGCGCAGUUAGCAUCCCGGCGAAUGAUCGGAGAGCGUCGGCGUGAGGUGAGUAAGGUCGGUAUUGAGGACCCGGAGAUGUUGUAAAGCUGCUUGCCACGCGAUCCACGGUGGACGUACCUCCGGCAGGGCUGGAAGAAGAUCUCCGGAGGAAUGGGGAGACCAGAAGGAGGCUGGAAAACGUCGACAUGGCGUCGGAGCUUCAGAAGUUCAGCAACUGAGUACUGGAACAGUGCGUCAGCUUGGAGUUGGACAAGUGACAGCAGGAGCCAGCCAGCUGCAAACCACAGCAACACACGGAGAAUCCACGUCAUCCUUCUCGGGAGUGAGGCUGGAAAGCCAGGGAUCCGCGGGUAAGCUGUAGAUCAGUGGGCUGUUUGACAGGUCAGCAGUUUGACAGGUGGGCAGCUGACAAUAGAACGCCGUCGCUGUCAAGAGAAAGCGUUGAGGCUACUGGCCAGGUAUACAGCAGGUGAUGUUUCAAAUUUUUUUUUGGCCUUGUGGAAGCACAAUCUGA